AGCAAAUUAGGGCCUUCAUGAACUUACAAAAGAACAAGCUCGCGUUGGAGGCGGAGAAGCAAGUGAAGAUGCUCGAGUAUCGAGGCCACUAAAGCAAGAGAAAUCCGGCUCGUUUGCAUGACGAAGGGGGCGAGAUCAUGAAGGUUGACUUGAGCAAGGUCUCCCCCAAAAAGCGGUCUUGAUUCGAGAACAUGCAUGCCGACAUGCUCAACCUCGAUGACGAGUGAUUUAUGGCCGACAUUGCCAUGUUUUUUAUGCUCCCAAGUGUGCCGGCAUGACCACGACCGAGAUGGCAUCAUAGAACUAGAGUCUCAUCUUGUGUGCCGGCAUGUCUGCCGGCCGUUUUGCAAAUACGCCCAACAUAAAAUGCGUCUUUUUCUUUAAAGGUUGUCAUAUGUAUGCGAGACGUUGGCAUAUCGCCGGCAUGAACUUUUAACGGAUGACGUGAC
rnacentral:lncRNA from 1 species